rnacentral:rRNA from 1 species
UACGUAGGGUGCAAGCGUUGUCCGGAAUUAUUGGGCGUAAAGAGCUCGUAGGCGGUCUGUCACGUCGGCUGUGAAAACCCGAGGCUCAACCUCGGGCCUGCAGUCGAUACGGGCAGACUAGAGUUCGGUAGGGGGAGACUGGAAUUCCUGGUGUAGCGGUGAAAUGCGCAGAUAUCAGGAGGAACACCGGUGGCGAAGGCGGGUCUCUGGGCCGAAGUGACGCUGAGGAGCGAAAGCGUGGGGAGCGAACAGG